AGCGGCGCGAGCGGAGGGCCGUUGGGGGCGAGACUCCAAAGCAGGGAAACUGCCGUUGCAAGCCUGAAUUCAUUCAUCCAACAGACACUGAAUGAGGACCAGCACAUCAGGAGGGCCUGCAUGGACCCACUUCCUGGCUGCAAAUCACAACUGCUCUUAGCGAUGACCCCAAGACUGCUCACAGUAAUGCCCUCAGUUGCAGGCACUUGGCAGUCUCUCCAGA